UCCGAGUUGACCCCGGCAGUCUCCUGUGAGUCCCCAUCACCCCGAAGGGCAUGCUGGCAACACAGAACAAGGGUUGCGCUCGUUGCGGGACUUAACCCAACAUCUCACGACACGAGCUGACGACAGCCAUGCACCACCUGUAUACCGACCACAAGGGGGGCACCAUCUCUGAUGCUUUCCGGUAUAUGUCAAGCCUUGGUAAGGUGGGGAUGACGUGUAGGAGCUCGAC
rnacentral:misc_RNA from 1 species